UGCCAUUGAGAAUCAUAUUUGUCUAUUCUCUGGUUGGAUGCGCGAAUUUUAUGGGCCGGAGUUUCUCGAAGUACUAGCUCCUCAUCUCCUUUCACGGAAAGUGUGGGUAGUUAUUUUACCUUGUGGUUCUCGAAAUCCUACGAAGCCUACUAAAUUGGAGCUUGCCAUAUAUGCUAGCUUGCAGGAUGCCCAACCUCGUCUAGUUAUUCCAUUGUGGAAAUCAUAUUUAGAGGAACAUAAGAUACAGGAAUCUGAUCCAUCUGUUGUCAUUGUCGACAACACUCCAAACCUUGUCUCAAGAGGAGGAAGGAGGCGAAGACGGAGCUGUCACACCUCCUGGGAAGCCAGAUGUCGAUUUCGAAAAUCAAAGACCG
rnacentral:misc_RNA from 1 species